GCAGGGCCUCAGGCCUCAGUGCGCUGCAGUUCCCGCCCUGAGUGGCCGGUGCCCCGAGGCCCAGCCGGUCAGCCCCCCUCCUCCACCCGCUCCUCGCAGGCGGCCGGCAGCUCCCCCGUCCCCAACAGCAGCGGCUCGUGGAGGGUCUCGGAGGAGAGGGGCCGCGACAGGAGGGAAUCCCGGGCAGGUGGGUGUGAUGAGUGGGAGACGGGGAUGACCAUGAGCUCCGAGAUACUCGAGGCACUGAGGCUCCACCAGAGGACAAGGAGGCCCCACUCCAGCAUCGCACUCCACGACCUUCCACUCACAGGAUCCUCAUCUUCCUCCGAGCUCAAACGAUCCGGGACAGUUCAGUCUCUGGAAAUCCCCGGAGCUGCAUUGACCCUCCGCCAGUCUCGUCCCUCCACCGAGUCCCGGUGUGCCGCGCUCAGAGAGGAAUUUCAGGAAUACCGGCGACAGAAGGAGAUGGAGAAGUCGGAGAGAUCCCAUGGGAAGGGCGUGAGCAGCGUUGGAAGCCUGGAGCUGGCCACACUCCUGUGAAUGCUGUGGGAUCGUUCUGUGUAAUCCCACCUGUGACUUCCCCCAGGGAGGGAGGGUAACCCAUAGCCCCAGCUUUACCUGGGAUCGCACUGUGUACUUUACUCAAAGUGUCGGAAGGAGAGUCCUUCCCAUUGGGUGAGGGGAACCGGACAAUCCGGAAAAUUGGACCUCAGGAUGGGACAUCUGUAAAAACACUGAAAUAAAAAUGGUUUACAGCA